UGAGGCGUUGCGGGAGAGUGUUUUUCUGUCCCACCAGACCGAAAGGCCGCCGAAGGAGCAACCGCCCCGGAAACUCUCAGGCCAACGGACCGCAACCGUCUU
rnacentral:ncRNA from 2 species